UACAGCCAUAUCAUGUUGGAAUAUUGGUUCUUAUAUGAUCACCAAAGUUAAGCAUCCUCAAGCUUGGUCAAUACCUAUAUGGGUGACCACUUGGGAAUACCAUGUGCUGUAGG